rnacentral:rRNA from 1 species
CCUACGGGUGGCAGCAGUGAGGAAUAUUGGACAAUGGAGGCAAGUCUGAUCCAGCCACGCCGCGUGCGUGAAGAAGUCUCUAUGAGUUUAAAGCUGCUUCAGCAGGGAGGAAAAUGCCGAUACCUGAAUAUGUAUGACAGUCUAACUACGUGCCAGCAGCGGCGGUUAUACGUCAGCGGCCAGCGUUAUCCGGAGUUACUGGGUGUAAAGGGUGCGUAGUCGGUUGAGAAAGUCAGUUGUGAAAGGCCGGGGCCCAACUUCGGAAUUGCCUUUGAAACUGUUGAACUAGAGAGUAGAUGCGGUAGGCGGAAUGUAUGGUGUAGCGGUGAAAUGCUUAGAGAUCAGACAGAACACCGAUGGCGAAGGCAGCUUACUGAGCUACUUCUGACGUUGAGGCACGAAAGCGUGGGGAGCAAACAGGAUUAGAUACCCCAGUAGUC